rnacentral:rRNA from 1 species
AAUAUUCCGCAAUGGGGGAAAGCGUGACGGAACAAUAAGCAGGAGGUAGAGGGCCUAAAGGUCAUGAACUUAUUUUCCCGGGGAAGAAGCAAUGCCGCUAUAUGAGGAAUAAGCAUCGGCUAACUAGUACCAGCAGCCGCGGGAAGACAGAGGAUGCAAGCGUUAUCUGGAAGUAUCGGGGGGAAAGCGUGUGUAGGGGCUUUUUAAGUCCGCAGUCAAAUCCCAGGGCUCAACACUGGACAGGAGGUGGGACGUACCAAGGUGGAUUACAGUAGGGGCAGAGGGAAUUUCCGGUGGAGCGGUGAAAUGAGUAGAGAUGGGAAAGAACACCAGCGGGGAAACCACUGUGCUGGGCCGACACUGGCAGUGAGAGACGAAAGCUAGGGGAGCGAAAGGGAUUAGAUACCCCAGUAGUCCUAGCGGUA